UGUCUCGCGGAGCCGCUUCGGCUUGCCCUUGCGCCACCCCCCUCCCUGCCUUGCCCGCACCUCAGAGCAGCAGUAGGCAAUGAGCGCUGAGCACGAUAACUUUUCCUUUGCGCAUGUUCGAUCCGGAGAUGUCCUCUUUAUGAAUCGAAAGUGUCUUGCCAUGAAAGACCCGCUUGGCAUGAUCUUGUGUGGUCUCUCCAAGACGGAGAACCGCUUUGACCACGUCGGCAUGUUUUUGAAGAUAAGCGAGGAUGAGCUCCGCAAGUACCCCGAGGCACGCAAGCGCAUCGCGGAGUUGUCACCGUCAGGCACGUACGUGCUCGAGACGAACAUGCGUGGCAUCACACUGUACGCAGCGGAGGGGCGAGUGAGGCGCACAACUGCCAAUGAGGUGGUCUCGCGCUCCGUCAACGUGGGCGACGCCGAGAAGCAGCAAGAGGCGCAGGAGGCGUUCCUGGAGCAAAUGGAAACCAUGUACAGCACUCCGUACGAGAACGAGGUUUUUCAUCUUAUCCCCUCCAUCUGCAGUCCUCCAGACAAGAUGGACAGAGUGCUAGCCGCGCGCAAGUUCCACAUACUUCGCCUCGAGGUGGCGGCCCUCACAGAAAUGGCCAAUACGCAUCCUAGCCAGGCGGAGGUCUACCGUGCCGUCGCGCACAAGUACCGGCACGCGCAGUCGUUUCUUCUCUCCACCUACUUUCCCCACUUGGCCUCCACGUCGCCGACGGACGCACUCGCCGUGAACUGGAGCACCGGCCACUACUGGAUUGACGGGGUCAACAACGCCGACAAGAUGGUCUGCUCCGAACUCAUCUGCAAUCUGUGGCACCGUGUGGGUCUCACAGUGGGGUAUGUGCCGGCAUCCUCCAUUCGCCCCUUCGACUUGCUGGACAAUGAGCGCUUCAACUUUGUCUCGCCGGCGAGUGAGCUCGGCGAAAUCGUUCCCAUUAGGAUAAGCAAGCCCUACGCGCGGUACUGGAAGACGCCGAGCGGAAGCGGGCCGGCGACGACGAGAAGUGCCAAGGCUGCGCAGGCGGCCAUGACAGAGGGUCAGCGCCUCAAGUUCUACAACGACGUCUUCACCAGCAGUGGACGCCCGCCGGUGGGGUCGUUGAGGGCCGCCGCCGCCUCCUCGGAGCCGCUCCCGUCUCGGUGGGUGGUGCAGUCGAACACGCGCAGCGACGUCAUUCCCAACUUGUGGUUCCGCGUCUUCUCCUCUGGUGUGCUGUUUGCCGCCUGCGCGGUGCCGUGCGCCCCUUUGACGCUGCGGUGGAUGGAGGGGCAGGUGGGACUGUUCUUGCUGCGAGGGAGCGUCUGGUCCGUCACGUGCGGCGUGUUUGCCCGGAACGUCUCGUUUGCCGCUGUGCAAGCCCUUGUCCUCGCGGCGGCAACGCGCCGCUGCAAGGUGUCUGGGGACGAGCUGGUCAUGGGCUCGCACACGCGCAGCAACCUCGUCGACACACGGCAUCCGUACUAUUGCACGGUCGCCCUCUACGGCCUCUCCGCCCUUGUGGCGCAUCUUGCAACAACACCGUUGCGCAACGCCAACAUCUCCUACCACUUCGGCCCCGUGCUCCCCGGGCCCAUCUCGAUGCGGCGACUGUGCAAGGGGAACAUUUUGCUCUCACCUACCGCCGUCUUGUUGCCCUUCCAAGCCUGCUGGCUCUCCUGGUACGAGACGGCUGGGUCCUUCAUCGUGCCAACACUAUCGUCCGUGUGGCGUCCUCGAGAGGACCUGCUCGCACGCCCGGAGUGGCCGCACUACCGGAGCGAUGCCCUUAUCGGCGCCUUUGUCGCUACGCUUCUCACGGAUGCAUUGUUCUACCCGAUUGCCGCCGUGGCAACACGCCGAUUCAUGAGCGACCUAUAUAAGCCGCAAAGGCCGCCGAGCUUUGGACGAUCCCUCUACGCAGGCUACCGGUAUCGUCUUCUCAGCAACCUUGUCAUCCUCUCCUCAUCCACCGCGUACCUGUACGGACUUGGAAGCAUCUAGCACAUCCUUGCGCACGGGGUAGAAAAGUCCUGCGUGCCGGCUUACUGUUUCCUCCAGCUGUAUCUUCGUGGCCGCAUCAUCGUCACAUGGAGAAGGUAGCGCCUUCGCCAGUAAACGAAGACUCGCUCACAUUAUCGCAUGACGCCGACAUACAC
rnacentral:misc_RNA from 1 species